rnacentral:rRNA from 1 species
GACGAACGCUGGCGGCGUGCUUAACACAUGCAAGUCGAACGGAAAGGCCCUGCUUUUGUGGGGUGCUCGAGUGGCGAACGGGUGAGUAACACGUGAGUAACCUGCCCUUGACUUUGGGAUAACUUCAGGAAACUGGGGCUAAUACCGGAUAGGAUCUCCUGCUGCAUGGUGGGGGUUGGAAAGUUUCGGCGGUUGGGGAUGGACUCGCGGCUUAUCAGCUUGUUGGUGGGGUAGUGGCUUACCAAGGCUUUGACGGGUAGCCGGCCUGAGAGGGUGACCGGCCACAUUGGGACUGAGAUACGGCCCAGACUCCUACGGGAGGCAGCAGUGGGGAAUAUUGCACAAUGGGCGGAAGCCUGAUGCAGCAACGCCGCGUGCGGGAUGACGGCCUUCGGGUUGUAAACCGCUUUCGACUGUGACGAAGAGUGAGUGACGGUAAUGGGUAAAGAAGCACCGGCUAACUACGUG